rnacentral:rRNA from 1 species
GACGAACGCUGGCGGCGUGCUUAACACAUGCAAGUCGAACGGUAAGGCCCUUCGGGGUACACGAGUGGCGAACGGGUGAGUAACACGUGGGUGAUCUGCCCUGCACUUCGGGAUGAGCCUGGGAAACUGGGUCUAAUACCGGAUAGGACCACUGCCUGCAUGGGUGGUGGUGGAAAGCUUUUGCGGUGUGGGAUGGGCCCGCGGCCUAUCAGCUUGGUGGUGGGGUGAUGGCCUACCAAGGCGACGACGGGUAGCCGGCCUGGGAGGGUGACCGGCCACAGUGGGAGUGAGAUAAGGCCCAGACUCCGACGGGGGGCAGCAGUGGGGAAUAUUGCACCAUGGGCGCAAGCCUGAUGCAGCGACGCCGGGUGAGGGAUGACGGCCUUCGGGUUGUAAACCUCUUUCAGCACCGACGAAGCGCAAGUGACGGGAGGUGCAGAAGAAGGACCGGCCAACUACGUGCCAGCAGCCGCGGUAACAC